rnacentral:rRNA from 1 species
UGAGGAAUAUUGGUCAAUGGAGGAAACUCUGAACCAGCCAAGUCGCGUGAAGGAAGAAUGUCCUAAGGAUUGUAAACUUCUUUAGCGAGCGAGUAAGGACUUCCACGUGAUGGGAGUUUGAAAGUAGCUCGAGAAUAAGUAUCGGCUAACUCCGUGCCAGCAGCCGCGGUAAUACGGAGGAUACGAGCGUUAUCAGGAUUUAUUGGGUUUAAAGGGUGCGCAGGUGGUCCUGCAAGUCAGUGGUGAAAAGCUGAGGCUCAACCUCAGCCUUGCCGUUGAAACUGCAAGACUUGAGAGUACAUGAUGUGGGCGGAAUGCGUAGUGUAGCGGUGAAAUGCAUAGAUAUUACGCAGAACUCCGAUUGCGAAGGCAGCUCACAAAGGUAUGUCUGACACUGAGGCACGAAAGCGUGGGCAGCAAACAGG